CUUGUGCUCAAGCUCUCACACUCUCUCAAAAAAAAAAAAAAAAAAAUUAACUCCACCUGGACAGCACAAUGAUUUACACAUGGCACCUACAUAAAGCCCCUGCCUGUAAUUCACACCAACUAAUUUAAGUCCAAUGAGCUAUAUGACCCUAUUCCUGAAAAAAGGCACAAGAACUUCAGUCUGGUUUCAUUGGCAUCAGCACCACCAAAGAGGAAGAAAGGUUUCUAAACUUUUCCUCUCUGCCCUUAAGCCAAUUCUUCCAAGGUAGUCGAAACCCAGCCACUGGCUAGCCUUGUGCAAUCCUGCUAAGUCUGCUCCUUUGCAAUAAUCUCCAUAGCAAUGGGCUCUGUGACCUAACCCACAGCCAAGGAAGCAAGAAAUUCAGACACAAACACCCAACCAGGGAGCAAGGACAUCAGCUGAGGCAUCAGGGAUGUCUGAGCUACUUUUGGAGGCUCUGAUAAACAAGCAGGUCAUCUGUAACUAGUGUCCUUUUAAGAAGAGGACACUUGGACACAACGUGCACUGCACACACAGUAAAAGACCAAGCGAGGACACAGCAAGCAAGAAGGCAGCCAUCUGCAAGCCAAGGAGAUCGGCCUCCGGAGAAAACAACCCCACCAAUAUCUUGGUCUGGGACUUCUAGCCUCCAGAAUAGUGUGGGCAUGCAGGUUUUUGAGAAGAGGCAACACAGGUGAGAGAAGACCCAGAAGCAGAUGGUGGGGAUGUCCUUCCAGGAGUCAUCUUCAUUACCCUGGCAAUCUUUAAAGUAUUUAUCGAGUCAAUAAAGCAGACAGUCAAGUGAUGGCGGCAUGCUGAACAGGUUUCAGACAGGCUACAGGCAAUAAUACACUGCUAUGGCCAUUCGCUGGCCCAAGUCAGGCCACCAGUCAGGCUUACAAAGAAGCGACAGACCACAUAUUAGAAUUACACAGAAGUUGUACGCUGAUGUAAUGCACACCUCUUGCCCCUGCACACCCCCACAGAAACACAUUUAUCCUCCACACGGUCCCAGGCCUUCUGGGUGCCUCUGCUCCUGGCCUUUCACACUAUCUUUACACUAAUUAUUUGUAGACAAUCCUGUCUCUUCAUCUAGACUGUCUGCUCCCGGAGAGGUAUGAUCCACACUAGAGUCCACCUUUGUAUUGUGCCUACAAAACAAGAAUUCAGUACCUAUUUCGUGAACAGCAGGUUAAUCCCGCAGCAUAGAACCCUAAGGAGGAGAUGGAAAGCCUCUAGACUAGAGCAAUGCUUCCAUAAAUUAACAUGCAGACAAAUGACCUAAGGAUCUCGCUAAAAUACACAUUCUUGAAUACCACCCCCUGGAGAUUACAACUCAGCAGUUCUGGGGUAGGGUUCCCAAAUCUUCAUUUCUAACAAGACCUCAAGGAGACUGAUGUUGCCGGUCCACUCCGGCUCUGCCUAGAAUAACCUCCCACCUGAAGCAGAAGUCACCCCAAGUGCAAUUCUGAGAGGAAUACCAUGGGGUAGCUUCUGCACCCCUCCCUCCACUCCCAGGAGAAAAGGUGACACACCCCAAGGCCACCCAGUCUGCUUCAGGUCCUAGAACUGCUAAAGACGUUCUCCCUUAUAUACCAAGUUCCCCGGAGUUCAAACGCCUGCCCUGGAGACACUAUCGAUGUGCCCACAAAGGUCUCUCACUGACUUUUUUUCAAAUCACUCACUCACUUUCCUUCCUUGUCUCCCUGCCUUUGCCUCUUUCUCUUUGCCCUUGCACAACUGGAACCACAUCUGAAUACUAAACUACAGCCCUUUUAUUUGUGCUCUUAGGAAAAUAUCCCAGGAAAACCGCAUGCUUCUCAAGUUACAGGUCCUCCCCUCUCUGAAUUUAUCUACUUUUCCCAUAAUAAACCCCCUCCAUGCCAGCAAUUAAUCAGCCCCCAAAGACCACCCAGGAACAGCCAAGGAGAACCCUGCCCUCUCCAUAAAGCUGCCUGCCAGCACCAUGCGCGUCCCCGAGUCCCUUGCGAGCACAGCAGUGCCUUCAUUAGUCACGCAAAGAGGUGGGCCAACCUCAGGCUUCCUUCUAGCUCUGCUGCCCUAGAAGAGUAUGACCUAAACCCAGGGACACCUGGGAACCAUUCCAGAUUCUUCCUUUGUUGACACUCUCUUCUUAGAGAGCAUCUGGAGAGUCAAUGUCAGGAGGCCUGGAGUCAAAUCCCAACUCCACCAGCAAGGAGGUCUGUGAUGGUGAGCUCAUCAGAUAAGGCAUUUGACCCUCCAUUUCCUCAACUAUAAACUGAGGAUAAUCAUAUCUCAGAGCUACUUUGUGAGACUGCAUUGAGGUAAAUGACAUUUGUAAAAUUCCUAAACUGCAAGACAUGACAGAAAUGUUAAUUAUCGUCUCGCACUGCCAGGUACUCAAAUACUGGCUGCAUGUAUGACAUCCCUGUCUGCAGGCUACAUUCCUCACAAGGUAAACGAAGUCAAAUUCCACACAACGAUGGUCUCUGAAAUCACUGCUCUCCACUACUGUUGAGCCACUAUUUAUUUAUUGGCAACUCAUCAGGCUCCAGGCCUGUGCUAAGCACUUCACACGUGUUAUCACAUCCCGUCCUCAUUACCACCUCAAUGAGGCAGGUGCUAUCACGAUCCCCAUUUUACAAAUGGGGAGAGUAAAGCACAAAACAGUUAGGUAAUGUGUUCAAGGUGACACAGCUAGCAGUGGCAAAGAAGGAAUCUGAAGCCAGGAGGUCUUAUUCUAGAGCCAGUGCCCCUAACUUCCAGGGGAGGCCGACCCCUGCGGGACACAAAGAUCCACGCGUGUCUCCACAUGGGAACGGCACCGGCACCUCUGCCCCCACGUUUUAGCUCUGUACUCCGAGAACUCAUUCACAGGACAAAAUGACAGCAUGAUGCUCCAGAAAAAUUACAGCUAUUCAUUCUCCCAAUUAGCAUGUGAUGAAGAGAAGGGGGAAAUCACCAACUAUUUAAUGUGCUUGAAACCUGGUCUAUGAAAGAUUCAGUCAUUUGAAAACCACAUUUAUAACUGGAAGUAAAUCUCAAGAAAUAUAAACUCGAGGCAAGGUUUUCACUUCAAUAACCCUUGUAGUUAAUAAGUUUCGCAAGUAAAAGAAGAAUAUCGGAGGACAGGCUCUACGUUGUAUGCCCCAACAAUGUAAGCUAGUCAGAGGCUCGGAGGAACCUCCCACAUCUGUAACUAGAACAUCCCCUGAGGCAGCUUAAGAGUCAUAAAUUGGAUCUGCAUCCUUCUUUGGGAUGACAUACCUGUGACAAGCCCAGAAUUCCAGGAGACCUGGACCUCUUUACACCACCUAACAUAAUUAACAGAGCUAAUGACAGCAAAAUGGGUAAAAAGAAACAGUAAAUCUUUGCAACUUUUCUGUAAGUCUAAAAAUACCCCAAAAUAGACCAGUUAUUUUAAAACAUACAAAAACUAACAAAAAGCCAACAGAAAAACAAGCAAAGAAUAUGACCAGACCGUUCACAAAGAGAAAAUACGAUCAGAUCUAGGAUAUAGUAAGAGAUGCUCAACAUUAUUAAUAAGAAAUGCAAACUGAAACCACUAUGAGAUACAAUUUUUCUCUUAUCAGAUUGGCAAAAAUUCAAAAGUUUAACCACAAAACUUGUUGCCAAGGCUUGGGGAAAUCCCUACUCUUAAACAGGAAUAUAAAUUGGUACAACCAAUACAAAUUCGUACAGAGGAUUUGGGCAGUAACUAUCAAAAUGACAAAUGCACAUAUACUUUGACUAACAAUUUCACUCCUGGGAGUUUAUCCUACAGAUGUAUACGUACACAUGGAUGAAACGCCAUAUAGUCAAAAUUAUUCAAAGCAGCAUCACUUGUAAGAGUGAAGAACUAGACAUAACCCAAGGUCGUUACAUAUGAACCGAUUAAAUAUGUAAGAGUACAACCAUAUAAUGGACUAUUGGGCAGCUUUAAAGACAAUUAAUUAGGUAGCUCUCUCCAUACUGAGAUGGAAUGAUCUCCAAGAUAUACUGAUAAUCACAAAAAAGCAAGAUGCGGAAUGAUGUUUAUGGUAUCGCUG